rnacentral:misc_RNA from 1 species
UCCCCCUCAGCCAAGACGAGUGGUUGGUGAAGGCGGUUGUCAGCCAAUCAUGGCCGCGGAAAUAAGGCGACUGGCGGCGCGGCGGGCGAGAUGGCUGUGUUUACAGGCGUGACGAAGUUACCAGGUGGGAGGCAGGUGAGGAUGAGGCCAGAAGGUAAAGACGCGCCUCUCAGAUUCUGGCAUCACUCGGCAAGACGUCACCGCACGCUCAGCUCACACGAGGGCUCGCGCUGGACAGGGAGCGACUAAAGGUGAUUGUACAGGUGUCUAACGUCACAACCUCACCUCCCCUCCUCCACCUGUGUCCAGGUGCUUGGUGCACACUCAGCAUCGGGACUUGCUUGUCGGGUGCGCAGGGUAGUCGACCGCCCGCUCUCAGGCGUGGGUGAUGCUGAGUCACAACCUUACGAGGCGCAUUUCGUCACAGACACCCGGGUACGGAUCUCCUCGUGCAGGUAUACUUCAGGUCAACAUCCAGUAACAGUGGUUGCACCCACUGACUUCUCAUCUCAUAAGGCGAGGUGACCUCGAAGGGUGCGUACAAACUACCAUAUUAGCGAUUACUUACCUGAUCUCCGUGGGGAGAAAAAAUUUUCGAUCGAGUAGAUUGGAAGUAAAGCAGGUCUGAGGCAGAAGAUAGAGGUGAGAAUCACUCAACCAACAUACCUCGACAAGUCAAUCAUCUUUUAGCAGAAACUUACCUAAAGCAUCUUUGAACUGAAACUUGCGUCGCGUUUGUGUUAACCUCUGACCCUUGGUCAACCAACAUCUACAUUCGUGUGUAAGACUACACACGGUUAUCAUCAGAGAGAGGCUUCAGUCGACAUUGAAGACUUCGUUGUCGGCAGAAAUGAAGAGUUUAAUCAUCAUCGCAAGUUUCGCUGUGGCGCUGGCUGGGACUCUGGACAUUGUGGCUCCAAGGAUGAUGGAAGCCUGCGUGCUGGACGUGGCCCUGCUGGAGGUGGAGGCCCCCCACUACACGCUGGACGACCUUUGUGUUGCAGGAAACAACAAAGUCACCGUCAUCAUACGCUGUGCCUCCGGGUCAAGGUAUGCCAGCCAAGCUUCCCUCAGUCCAUGUCUACAGCAGCCCAUAGUAACACUACAGUACGACACUAAGGGAGCUGAGGCAACCAACAUCACGCUGCUGCUGUGGCUGAACCUGGGUCACGAUGUCCUAGACUCGGCAAGUUUCAUAUUCUCUCCUGUUGGAGACAGUAUAUUUUCGGCUAAUCACGUUCUUGGAGACCUUCAGAAAACAAGAUUCCAUUUAGCAGUUGCCAAGCGGUGCUUUGGAGACGUGGAAACCGAACGGGCGUCCAUGGACGAAGCGGCUGAUGCUGGUGGUUCUCAGCCCUUUCCGAAUAGCGCCUUCUCUAGUCUUAAUCACCUGACUGCCAGACACAGAAGAGACACGGACGCCACCCUCAGGCCCUUGAAGACUGGCGCCCAGGCUAGCCUCACUCUCGACGUCUCGCCAGCCAUCUUGACUCGGGACUCCAGCCCGGGGGUGGAGACGGUCUUUAUCGGCGAGAGCUUUGCGCGAGACGACAAUUUUCCUGUUGUCACCAACAGCCUGGACAGUUACUUCAGCGAGUUUUAUAGCAAGAGGACAAAAGUUGAACCGCUUCCUGCGUCUCCUGAUGAAACCGCUUUGCUAGGCAACAGCGUCCCUGGCAACGAUUUGUACCUCUUCGGUGAGGCAGUCAGCGAUGAUAACAGCACGCUCCUCACCUUUACUAGCACUCAAACCACUAGCCAACCUCUUCAAGUGACUGCGCCAAGAGUGACAUCCGCUUCUAUAGUCACCUCAGAGCUUCCAGAAAAUUCUCUUGGCCACACGUCAGGGGCAACAGGCAGCACGCUCAGUUUGAACUCCUCCUCACAAGCGCCGUUGAAUUUCGAGCCAAAGGAAACAAGAUCCAUUUUUGUUGGUUCCUUGACAGACGAUACGAUUAGUUUGUCCACGGGUGAAUUAGAAACGUCUGAUUCAACCUACCAAUCAACUACGACAGCUGGACCAUACACACAACCGAAGGACUUCACUUCUGUCUCUUUUUUCGAGGAGACAAUCAUGUUUGGGAACAAUGCAGGGAGAAGCUUGUUCUUAGAAACGAAAGAUGAUGUGACAUCACCUGAAGCAAAGAACACAGCUGCAGAUGUGACACGUGUGCCAAGUGACGGCACCACAAUGCCCCACACGUCCGUUGCGGGAGACUACUCACAGCAAGAUUUAAAAGAAUCAGCAAUAACUUCUACUCUGAUGUCGAGAGCCAGCCUGACCUCGACUGUGGCCAUAUUGUCCUCCACUAGUGAUGCUGGUACAGUCCUGAAUCCUCUGGAAAACACAGACACAACAGCUUCUCCUCUGGAGUUUGUGUCAGAGGGAGUAAAUCCUUUGGGUCGAAGUACGGAUACACAAACUGGCUCAGAUUCACAUAUGGUCUCCGAGUCCCAAUUGGACACAUCUGCCCAAACGAUUUCCGAUUCUCUAACGGCUAGUACAGAAAGCACUUUAGGUCAGGGGCCAUCUGACUUGCCCGACACAAGUGCCAGUGUCGUGGUACCUGUGGCCAGUCUUAGUCCGCUUGACGUUUCUGUCUCCGUGCACCGCCCGGAAAGCACAGUAUCAUCUCAACAUUUGUCUCCUCCUACAUCACCCCCUCAAACGUCGCACACGCCACCGACUGACUCAUCGCCACUGACUACUCCGAGUACGCCAACAUCACGUGCCACAGACUCGCCGACGGAAGCCACGUCACUCACUACCUCGAGUGCGUCACAUUCGCCGGAACAAUCUACGUCACCCAUCACCACGAGUACCUCAACUCAGCAGCAGACACAUCCUACGGUUCCCACUGCGUCAGUUCAACCGCAAGCGUUCUCCACGAUUCCAACCCCGCCGAGUCAACAGCAAACAUUUCAAGUGUCCUCCUCCAUUGCGCCGUCAUCACCAGGCACUCCUGUUCCAUCUCCCACGUUGCCUGAGCAAGACACGUCGUCGACGUCCUCCACAGCAUCGUCAGAUCACCAACCAGAUGUCCCGGUUACUCCUCUCUUCCCUGAUGCUCAAACCAGCUCCUUGCCUUCCGACCUGACCACCAACAUCACCUUGGAAACAGGUUCCCGAGGCAACAGCAGCAGCUGGGAAGGUCCCAUAAAUAACUCGGAUCGCGGCGAUGACGCCUUCUGGCCUAUUGUCGCUGCCCUCGUCAUCGGCAUCCCAACUGUCAUCGUCUUCGGCAUCGCCAUAGUCGUCAUAUACAAGCGGAGACUGGCUUCCCCGGCACGGCUAAGGGCCGCCAGCAUGUACCCCUCCCUGUAGGACAGCACAAGCCGUUUGUUACUAACCUGCUUCCCGAUAGACAAGAACAAGAAAAAUCGACCAGAGACGAGCACUGAACUUCGGCGGAUCUCAUCGGCCAUCGAUCGAUGUUUGACAUCUGAACUUCAAAAGCACUGUAGAUGAACAUCGGUCGUUUUCGACCUAUUGUGUGCUUUUUUCAGCUUCGACCUGCCAGUCAGGACAUGUGAUAGAAGGGUCUGGAUGUGUGGACUGCGAUGCCAGAAGGUGUGCUCAUUGUGUAUGGACUGCAUCAUCGGGGUUUUGACAGACAUUUACAAAAUAAUUGUGAUUUAUAAUGCUCUCCCAUGUACAUACACGUGUUUAGUUUGAUCGCAGUUUGCCUCACUGUCGCUCGUGUGUGACAGAAUAUUGCAAACGGUACUGUCGUGGGCCUCUGUACAGAAGUGUGUGCGCGCAUCCAUGAGUGAACUGACAACACGUGAGUGUGCGUGCACGUUUGUAUGUGUGCGUGUGGGUGGGUGGAUGUGUGAGAGAGAGAGAGAAAGAGAAAGAAAGAAAGAUAAUUUUAAAUAUCUUUAUGCAUAUGGAGGGGUGUGUGUGUGUGUGAAAGAUAGUUUGUAUACCUCCGUGCUUGUGCACUUGUCAUAUGGGUAGUUGGACGGGUUCGGGUGAGUGAAGAUGUAUGAGCGAGUAGAUUGGUGUCGUGUUGGGUGAGAGUGGCAUUUUAGUGAGCAUAUUUUUGUAUUGUUUUCAAACUGCAUUUCUGAUUUCUUUCGCCUUUUGGGUUAUUUUUAUACUUAAGCUUCCCCUGUACAAAAUAAUUCCUUUUUCGUAAACAAUUGUAGUUGAGACAAAUGCUCAUAAAUUACUGUACAGAUAUUUUAGAACAGGUUGCAAAAGUCUGGAUUUUUUCCAUCGAUGGUUACUUGUGCGACCAUCUAGGAAAAGAUGUUUCCUAAAUUAUUGAACUUUCAGUUUUUACACGCAUUCACAGAACGCAUACCGCAACUCGCAUACAGACGCUCUCGCACACAAAAAUUAAAGGCGUGGACGACCAAGUGCUCUGAGUUCUUAAUGUUCUGAUGUUGAAAACCGCAGUCGUACAAAAUGUUAUGACCACGAUUACACUGUAUUAACGCCUCUCAUAGUGUGUUUUCAGUCUACGGAUGUAUCAAGGCAUUACUGUUACACACUGCAAUAUUAUUCUCAAACACAGACCAGUAAAGGGGUGGAAUGCUUACUGUACUUACUGAGGCUUGUUCUGGGCCAAUGCAGUGCCAUCUUCUCAACCAUUUCUAUCCGUUGAUUCAUUCCAUCUCCACCCACUGAUCCAUUCUCUCCACCCGUUUCUUCCUGCUCUAACUGUAGAACAUCAAAAUUUGAUUCACAUUUUCAUCGACACCUGUUUCUUGUGAGCAUAGUGCCUACAUAAAAGUAAAAUUUCUAGGUAAUCCAUCCUUGAAAAUAAUUUUCUUUUUUUUUUUUCUUUUCAAAAUCACGAUGUGUACCUUAACAUAGUCUCGUCGUGACAAAGACUUAAUGAUCUUUUGAAUGAAAAGUGUUUAAGUCGUUGCUGUAUGAUUUAUACCUAUUACAUUGACACUGUAUUACAUGAUUUAUGCCUAUUACACUGGCACUGUAUUAAUUAAUACAUGUUAACAUACCAAGUUCUCCCCUCAUCAAUGCGGGACGUUAGCAGUUGUUUUGACUGUGACGCUGUCACCUGAAGACCGAAAGACACAAGCGUGAUGCUGGACUGUCUCAUUAUCCUGAUCGUCAUUAACAGAGUCAUCGUGGCUAAGCAUGCGCAUCUUCCCAAUCGUCGAUAUCAUCCUACAUCUCAAUAUCCUGUUUGACAUCUUCCAAGUUCAACACUAGUAUUAUCAUUUUCUACACAAAAAUUUCAUCGUCACCCAUUCCAUCAAAGAAUAGAAAGACAUUAAUGAAAAGAGAGAAUGCGGCUUAUAAUAAUAAAGAGCAAUGGGUGUAUGUUGCUUUUCUUUUGAUUCUCUUGUCAACAAAGAUUUUGGUGAGUUUUCUUCACGCACAUCUAUGCGUGUGGAUCUAAGCAUGUAUAAAUAUAAAUAUGAGGAACACGUACAGGAAGAAUUCCGGUGAUCGAGAACUAGCAUUAUCAAGAUACAAAACAGUAUGCAUCAAACGUGCGGUAUAAUAUUUAUAGAGAAAACAUCCACUUUGUUCUGUACAUCACAAAUCUGAUUUUAAAUUGGAAUUUUUGUGCGCGGGUUGAAGGGGAGGCGGCAGAGUGGGUGUAUUUGUGCGUCUGUAUGUGCGUGUGUAAGAAAUUCAACAGUAUAAUUACCUUUCAUAUUAUUUGUUAUUCUUAAAGUGCUCACUGCAUUCAGUUCCUGUCUUUUUGUAAAAUCAUGUGGUCACAGCAUUAUCUUUAAACUGUGUAUGAGUUCAUCGUUUCAAGUCGUUUUACAAAACUUUUUAUUUAAACUGUGCUCUUGGAAAGUUUAGAGAUCAGUUCACUCCAAAAAUAAAAAAAAACUAGUCAUUAUACUUGUGUCAUUCAUGUACUUGAACUGAAAUAAAUAAAACAAGAAAAUAAU